rnacentral:rRNA from 1 species
GACAGAGGGGGCAAACGUUGUUCGGAAUUACUGGGCGUAAAGCGCGUGUAGGCGGCUAAUCAAGUCGGGCGUGAAAUCCCAUGGCUCAACCAUGGAAGUGCACCCGAAACUGCAUAGCUAGAGUCCUGGAGAGGAAGGUGGAAUGCUUGGUGUAGAGGUGAAAUUCGUAGAUAUCAAGCGGAACACCGGUGGCGAAGGCGGCCCUCUGGACAGUGACUGACGCUGAGACGCGAAAGCGUGGGGAGCAAACAGG